GGCUCAGACGAAACGCUGGCGGCGUGCCUAACACAUGCAAGUCGAACGCGAAAGGGGGCAACCCCCGGUAGCGUGGCAGACGGGUGAGUAACACGUGGGUAACCUACCCGGAGGUGGGGGAUAACCCUUCGAAAGGAGGGCUAAUACCGCAUGACACCGCGGGGACCUCGGUCCUCGCGAUCAAAGCUGGCCUCUGUUUACAAGCUAGCGCCACCGGAUGGGCCCGCGCCCCAUUAGCUAGUUGGUGAGGUAACGGCUCACCAAGGCGACGAUGGGUAGCCGGCCUGAGAGGGCGAUCGGCCACACUGGAACUGCGACACGGUCCAGACUCCUACGGGAGGCAGCAGUGAGGAAUAUUGCGCAAUGGGCGAAAGCCUGACGCAGCGACGCCGCGUGGAGGAUGAAGGUCUUCGGAUUGUAAACUCCUGUCGAGUGGGACGAAUGCCGUGAGGGUGAACAAUCCUUGCGGUUGACGGUACCGCUGGAGGAAGCCCCGGCUAACUCCGUGCCAGCAGCCGCGGUAAUACGGAGGGGGCUAGCGUUGUUCGGAAUCAUUGGGCGUAAAGGGCGCGUAGGCGGCCGAUCAAGUCGGAGGUGAAAUCCCUCGGCUCAACUGAGGAAUUGCCUUCGAUACUGUUCGGCUUGAGUCCUGGAGAGGGUAGCGGAAUUCCCGGUGUAGCGGUGAAAUGCGUAGAGACCGGGAAGAACACCAGUGGCGAAGGCGGCUACCUGGACAGGUACUGACGCUGAAGCGCGAAAGCUAGGGGAGCAAACAGGAUUAGAUACCCUGGUAGUCCUAGCUGUAAACGAUGGGCACUUGGUGUUGCGGGUAUCGACCUCUGCAGUGCCGAAGCUAACGCAUUAAGUGCCCCGCCUGGGGAGUACGGUCGCAAGGCUGAAACUU
rnacentral:rRNA from 1 species